GUACUUGAAUCAUGGGAUCGAGCUGGUGAUUUGUCUCAAGGCGUACCUUAACCUGUUCCAAUCCUAGCUUUUUAGGGUCCCUCUUGAAGCUCUCAGCAGAGUAUCAUACUGGAUCUGAAGCACUUACUUUGAAAAAAAAUUAGAUUAUUUAAGACAAGCCUUCUUCCCUUGUAUACUAUACGUGAGGAAUAAUGGAAACAGGAUCCUAGUUUUUACUAUGUUGAUGUUCAGAAAGGGAGUCAUAAUUAAGAAGGAUGGUCAUGUUUAAGAGGGAUGGCUGGAGAUUGCCAUAUUUUACUGCUAGAGGUCAAAUUCUUGGUGCAAGAUAAACUACAAUUAAAGUAUUGACUAGAAUGUUUUCAUUAAUCAG
rnacentral:ncRNA from 1 species